UACAGAGGGUGCAAGCGUUAAUCGGAAUUACUGGGCGUAAAGCGUGCGUAGGUGGUUUGUUAAGUCAGGUGUGAAAUCCUCGGGCUCAACCCGGGAACUGCGCUUGAUACUGACAGACUCGAGUGUGGUAGAGGAUAGUGGAAUUCCCGGUGUAGCGGUGAAAUGCGUAGAUAUCGGGAGGAACAUCAGUGGCGAAGGCGGCUAUCUGGACCAACACUGACACUGAGGUACGAAAGCGUGGGUAGCAAACAGG
rnacentral:rRNA from 2 species